AACAAACGCUGGCGGCGUGCCUAAUACAUGCAAGUCGAACGGGGAAAGUAGCAAUACGAGUACUAGUGGCGCACGGGUGAGGAAUACAUGGGUAAUCUGCCCUCGAGUUUGGGAUAACCAGUCGAAAGAUUGGCUAAUACCGGAUAUGACCACAGGAUCUGCGGAUCUAGGGGUAAAAGGUUUUUCGCUCGAGGAUGAGCCCAUGUGGGAUUAGCUAGUUGGUGAGGUAACGGCUCACCAAGGCGACGAUCCCUAACUGGUCUUAGAGGAUGAUCAGUCACACUGGAAACUGAGACACGGUCCAGACUCCUACGGGAGGCAGCAGUAGGGAAUAUUGCACAAUGGAGGAAACUCUGAUGCGGCGACGCCGCGUGAGUGAUGAAGGCCUUCGGGUCGUAAAGCUCUGUCGUAUGGGACUAACACAAUGAAGGUACCAUGCAAGAAAGGAUCGGCUAACUUCGUGCCAGCCGCCGCCGUAA
rnacentral:rRNA from 1 species